UACGUAGGGUGCGAGCGUUGUCCGGAAUUAUUGGGCGUAAAGAGCUCGUAGGCGGUCUGUCGCGUCGGCUGUGAAAACUCGGGGCUCAACCCCGAGCCUGCAGCCGAUACGGGCAGACUAGAGUUCGGCAGGGGAGACUGGAAUUCCUGGUGUAGCGGUGAAAUGCGCAGAUAUCAGGAGGAACACCGGUGGCGAAGGCGGGUCUCUGGGCCGAUACUGACGCUGAGGAGCGAAAGCGUGGGGAGCGAACAGG
rnacentral:rRNA from 1 species